UUGGGGUGGAAUUAUUAGUAUUUUAGAUUAGGUAAAUAUAUCUGAGAAAAGUUAGUAUUUGGACGGUUUAUUAUUAGUCAUAUGUGAAUAAGUUUGUACGAUAUGAAAAUUUUUAAAAUAAAACAGAGUCAAGCGCCUCAAACUAAUUAGCAUUUGUAGUUUUGAAAACGAUGUUUUCGUCGAAGCUUAAAGCAAAUAUUGGCUUGUUGAUUUCUUUACGUUAAUGUAAAGUGUUUUGUUUUUUUUAAGUGAAUAAAUUAAUUACGUAUUGGUAAAUACGAAGAAGACCGGUUUUAUUGGUUCACAGACUAACCCAUGACUUCUACAUUUAUAUUCUAGAAUCGUGUUUUGCGUGUGUAUGACGUAAACGACCCUAGACAAAUUAAAAUUAGCAAAUAGCAACUUUAUAAGCUUAAAACAUUAUUUAAACUUUCAAAUAAAGUAAUAAAUUUUAAACUUUAUAAGUUAACAUAAAACUCACCAAAUUCAAUUGUCAAAACAUAAUUUUUAAAAAUUUGACCAAUACCAAAAAUAAUCUCACCAUUAAUAUCCCAAACACAAAGUGGCUUGGCUGUUUAAAUAAGAAAUGACAGUCUUUAAAUAUGGUCGGUCAAAUUAUAACAGAAUUUCACUUUCGUCGAUAGGAUCUGUAUUAAGAACAAUUUAUACUGGAAUGCUAAAUAGACUCCAUAAUAUAAAAGUGAAUAAAGACUGAAACAAAUUUAAAGUACCCAUAUAAUUGGGAAUAUCUAAAACAUAAAUAUCCAAAUACUUGAAAUUAAACAAAGACUAGCUUUUGACCCGCGCGCCCGCGCGGGUGUAUAUUUUGUAGAAUUUAAUAUUUUUGUUAGUUGUAGACUUGUAGGUUAAUGUUUCAUAGGUUAUUGAGUUAUGAUAUAUUGUGUAUCUUGGUCAUUUUGCUAAGUGUCGAAUUUUUAAAUUUUAGUUGCAUUCUUUUUCAUUUGUACUUUUUUAACUUUUACUUUGUAAAUUAAAAAAAUAACUUGAUUAAUUUUGAUCUUAGAGUAAAUUAAACAAUUUAGAUCUUUAGUCCAAACUUAAAUAUUACAUUAAACAAUUAAAUCUAAAAUAUUAGAGUAUUUUGUUUAGAUUGAGUGUGUUUUAUUAAAUUAUACAAUAAAAUUUGUGUGAUAAAUUAUUUUAAAAUUACAUUUGAUUUAAAUUUUUUUAAACAAAAAUUUACAGCAAAAAUUACAAAUUAUGGAAAAUUAUACCCAAAAAACAUUCACAAAAAGUAUUCGAUUGCACAAUUAUAUAUACAAAGCCCAUUUAGAUGAAUUGAAAUAGGCAAUUUAUUUUUGACUUCAAAUUAGUGGGCUUAAAAUAUUAAUCGAAGCCCAAAUUAUUUUUUUUCCGGGAAAAGAAACAGAAACAGUUUUCUUUGUACGACUUCUUGGUUUCCGUUCUUGUAGAUCUCUCUGUCGGUGCCGUCCGCUUUCUGGCGAUAAGUUCCAUCUCAGGGGGUUGAAUUUCUCUCUCAAAAGAGGAAAGAUGGUUAGAUCCAUUGAGAACUACAACAGAUUUUGCAAACAGGUAUGAUUUUGGAUUUUUAGGUUGAAAUUAUUUAUCUUGAUUUGUUGUUCUAGAUUCUGUGUUAUGAUGGUUUUUAAAAUCAACUGAAGGGGUCAUACGAAGAGCUUUCUGUUGGAUAGAUAUAGCACGGUCCCGGUUUAAUCAUGAAGACCUGUCAAGACUCACUAUAAGCUCUGCUUUGUCCACGGAAUGCUUCGUUACAGUACUUGAUCACUUCGUCAACAACUCAUAUAUCUUUGUUCCAAUGAACAAAUGUUUAUUAACUUUGGUCACUCUAUUUGUUAAGUCAAUCGAUCUACUUUAUCAAAGGUUAGAUUCAUAAUCGAUUAUUUUGAUUAAGAUUCAAUGAAUAGUUUUCUUCCCUAAAUUUUUUGAUUGUUUCUCUUAUGGAAUGAUAGAUCUCUAGUCUCAAUGAGUAUGCCGGCAAUUAACCUUCGUCUUUAGAGACGUAAGGUCGUAAAGUCAAAAUCAACAGUUUUUAAAAUUUCUGUAUCUAUUUUUGUACAAUUGUGUCAAUUCUGAUAUUAUCUUUUUUAAUUGUGACGCAUGUUUGAGUUGGACGUUGUGUGAAGCAAUUUCUAGUAAUCUAGAUGCAAAGUAAGCCAGCAACCUUGGCGAACAAAAGACUUCGAAUACGGUUAGUAUUUCUUAGCUAUCACAACUAAUUCAUAAGUACCAAGCAAUGUAGGACCAUCUUGAAUAUGUUUUGAUUAUGAAAGAACGCUGGCUUAAGUAUAAAUGUUUGGUUUUUACUUGUCUGAGUGAUUCAAACCUGGUUAUUUUUUCCUUUACGAUCUUAUAUAACAUAACAUCUGUCAAUCGUUUGAUAGCUGAUAUUAUGUCAUUUUAAAUGUGACGCAUGUUUGAUUUGGACGUUGUGAGAACCAAGUUUCAGUAAUCCAAAUAUAAUGGAAGACAACAACCCGAGGAACACACACCUGAGAAUAUGGUUAGUAAUUACUUCUCUAUCAUAACUAAUUCAUAGGAUGAAAGCAAUGUCAUGGAUAAUAACGCGCCGGUGUUCUACAAAAUAUGUUGAUAACUGAUCUAACGUACCUAUUUCGUAAGUUGGAUAAAAUAGGACAGUAUAGAAUAAGUGCAAGGCUAGAAUAACGUCUUUCCUUUCCUCUGUGAUGGCAUAUUUAGAUUAAAUUGCUUUCUUCUGUAUUCUUGAUUCACUGAAAAUAUGAAUAACAUGUAUAAAAUUUAUGCUCACAGUUCAUUAAAAACAUUCGACAUUUUAAUGCUGAUAGGAACGUAUGUUCAUGUUACUAACUUAAACUGCUAUUACAAAAUCUUUCUUGGUAGGAUUAACUUUGUAUUUGCCAGAAAAUGGACAUUGAAGUUUCCUGGAGAGAACCAAGUACCAGUUAUGAAGAUGCAAAAGCAGACUACAAUGAUUACAGGACAACAGAGUUAUAAUGAGUGACUAAUCCCUGAAAUCUCCUCUCUUGCGAUUCACCUCUUGAGUAUGAGGAUGAAGGAAUGUUCCUUCCACGGCAUUUAUUCAGAAAGAUUUUUUGGGAAGAAUGGAUUAGCUUACUAUGAGAUUUGCAUAUAUUCAGAUCCGAUGACAAACAAUGAUGGAGCAGGUUCGAACAUUCAUACUCUUAUAGACAGCAACACGCGCCUUCUUGACCACCUUAGAGGAUGAGACAUCCGGAUUCUUACGCGCAGUACCGUAUAGACCCAUCUGAUCCAUUACCAGUGGCCCUUCCAGAUGCAAACCCAACAGGAGCUGGCUUGCCAUUAGGCAUGUUGUCAUCAUCAUCCUCGUUACCUCCCUGAUCCAUUGAGAUUGUUAUACAUAUACGUAUUUGUAAACAGCGAUAAGACAAUGAGAUAACGUAUUACACAUUAUACUUACAUUGUCAUCCACGUCAUCGUCUCGCACACGACCAAGCUCAUCAACAAUGCUGAAUAUCAAUCUAAAGAAGUAUACAAAACGUUAGUGGAAUGCCGUCAAUAAACUAACACUAUUAGCACUAUUACACAUUAUACUUACAUUGUUGUUUCUUUCUGAAACGUUGCUUCAUAUAUCAUGUUAUGGUGAACGUCUUAUGAUUGCUGGUGAAGUUAUAAGCAGUGACCCUCACCUGGAAAGUGUAUGAUUUUCCUUCCAUAUCUGCAAUGAACGGAGGUAUCCUAGAGUCCUCAGGGUUCACUCCAUCUUCAGCCUAAUUGACAGGAAACCAAAUACAAAUUAAGCUUUUAUUUAAUAGGCGAUAAAAACGCAAGUAGACAGAGGUGUAUUUUACCAGCAUCUGAACAGCCUCACUUGCUCUAAGAUUAUGUAGUUUCGUCAUCACACCAUCAAACCAAACAAAUGUUCCUUCAGCAGUAUCAUCAGCAAUAGCCAUCUCAACACGAUAGCUGAAAGGAGAUGGUAAUGAGGAAGCCAAAUUAUAAAGAUACACUUGUAUACGUCUAGAUGUAUACAUACAUAGAUAUAGUAGGGACGUAACUCACCAAAGUUUGAAAUAUAUAUAUAUAUAUAUAUAUAUAUGUGGGUCACCUGAAACAUAGUUUGAAAUAGAUCAGUGUUGAUUAACAGAGAAAAGUUAACUGGAAAUAAAUAUCAAUGUUAAUUAACAGAAAAUCAAAA